AGACAGUCAGAGGUCCUGAUGGCCUCUAUACUGUCAGCAGCAGAGUGACUGUGGAGAAGAGACACGGCAACAGCUUCACCUGCAGGGUUCAGCAGAGCAAAAUACAGCAAAUCAGGCAGAAACAGAUUCAUGUUCCAGAUGAUCUCUUCCCGGCUAAUCAUGCUGUUGCUAUCGUUGGUUAUGUGGGUUUUGUCAUACUGUGUAUUAUUGCAGUUGUCUUUAUUUUGGCAGUAAUCAGGAUCGAGAUACAGCGUAAGGGCAAAAGUAUGACGAGAAAAGGAAAAGAGAGAAAAGAAGACAUGACAGAAAAGUAGUGACCAAGAAAAAAACAAGUCUUUUAAACUGCACUGUAUUCAGCCUUUUCCUUUUUUUUUUUUUACACUUUAUUUGUUGCUGUUACUUUUGCCAGUUGUCUUAUGUUGUGUGUACUUGUAAUUUUAAUCUUGUGCCUUUCUGCUUCAGUGAGAGUGGCAAAACUAAUUUUUCCUUAUAUCUUUAUUUGUAAAAUUGACCCACGUAACGUAAAGCUCUUGUGUCCAAUCUCGUCCUAUAAGUGCUAUUUGCAUCUCCAGUUCAAAGUUCUGCUGGACAAAUACUGACACUUUACACUCUUUACGCACUUUACACACUUUACGCACUUUACACCCGCUUUAAAGUCUCUGCAUUGGCGGCCGGUCAGCUUUCAUACUGACUUUAAAAUUCUUUUAUUAGUUAUUAUUUUUAUUAGUGCCAUUGCCAUUCUCAUACAUACAGCAUUAAA